CACGCCCUAAAACCGAAUGCGCGUUAGGUGUAUCGGUGACCACGAGUCACCGAGGUGCCGAAGGGAAACCGGUGAAACGUGCCGCCUGGGAAGUACGGUCGCAAGGCUGAAACUUAAAGGAAUUGGCGGGGGAGGCACCACAACGGGUGGAGCCUGCGGUUUAAUUGGACUCAACGCCGGGAAGCUCACCGGAUAAGACAGCGGAAUGAUUGCCGGGCUGAAGACCCUGCAUGACCAGCUGAGAGGAGGUGCAUGGCGUAGACGUCU
rnacentral:rRNA from 1 species